CUCUUGGCAUGCUUUAUUCUUUCUGAAUUAAAGUAUUCUUUUUUGGGGGGCGGGGGGUGGCCUGUGGGGAGACAGUCUUGCUUUGUCACCCAGGUUGGAGUGCAGUGGCACAAUCUCAGCUCACUGCAACCGCUGUCUCCCAGGUUCAAGUAAUUCUCCUGCAUCAGCCUCCCAAGUAGCUGGGACUACAGGCGUGCACCACUGUGCUCGGCUAAUUUUUUGAAUUUUUUUGGUAGAAACUGGGCACCAUGUUGGCCAGGCUGGUCUCCAACUCCUGACCUCAGUUGAUCCACCCAGCUCAGACUCCCAAACUUCCGGGAUUACAGGUGUGAGACACCAUGCAUGGCCCUAAGUUAAAUUAUUCUUAUGUGAGGUGUGCCUUAAAUUCAACCUCAGAGUCCUCAACUUGAGGAAGCAAAAUCCUAUGGGUAAUUUUUAACUGUUAUUUUUAAUUGGCAUAUAAUAAUUUUACAUAUUUAUAGAGUAUAGCGUGAUAUUUUGAUACAUGUAUACAAUGUGUAAUGAUAAAAAUCAGGGUAAUUAGCACUCCAUCCCCUCAAAUAUUUAUCAUUUCUUUGUGUUGGGAACAUUCAAAACCCUCUCUUCUAGCAAUUUCCUAUGUGUAUUUUGUCUUGCAGAAUCUGAUCCUCCCAGAAUUGGUCUGCCAGUUUCCAGGUCCUAAAUAGCUCCCAGAACACUGCAGAAUGGCUAACAGCAGUCCCCUAGUGUAGAAGUCAAUGUCACCUACUUUGUUCUGAAGAUUGUGUACUAAGGUUUUGGGGUCACUGAAAUGGAAAAUACGGUAAAAGAACAGAUGAGAGAUAAGAAGAACUUGAGUUAAACCUCUAACAGUGAGUAUGGCAGGAAGCAUUUAAGACACAGGGACAGAUAGAUUGUGAGGACUGGAUAAAUGAAUGAAAUCUAUGAUAAUUCCAAGUUUAUGGCUAUGUGAAUGAGAACACUGUGGUGCCAAUUCACUAAAGCAGGAAAUAGAUAAGAACAAAGAAUUAUAGAGUAAGAUGAGUUCUGUUGGGGAUAUAAUACAUUUGAAAUGAAUGCAUAACUCCAAGUUGCUAUGUCUAGUCCAGUUUGGAGGCCAGGAAUUAUCAAGAUACAAAUAAUGUUGAACCCUCAGGAGAAAAUGAAAUGCUGAAGAGCACUGACAUUUAAGCCUGGAAGCUGCUGAAUUGCAAAAAACAUAUUUAUGGCCAGCUCAGAAUUGUUUAAGUUAAAAAAUAUAUUGAAGCCUCUACUUGAGACUUGUAUUCUCCCAUUUGGCUAAGGAUUCCUUUAUUUCAAAUUUUCUUAAAAUCAACAAGAAUGCUUGCUCACAUCACCUUCUUGGCCACCACAGUUACUGAGUUUGCCAGCCCAGAUAUAAGGAGUGGACAGGGUUUGAGAAAAACUGAAAGAUUGGGAAACAAUGAUGAGAGACAACAUAACCAGGAGAGAAAAGUAUGAAGCAGAAAGAAGUUUGCAGCAAUCAUUCUGUUGAAUGCAACAGAGAAGGUCAAUGAGAUUGGUCUCAGAAGCAAUUUGACUUUUCUUCUAAUAAUUCAUGAAGGAGAUGCAUUUUUUCAACAAAUGUCUGUUGAGCACCUUCUCUGAACCUGGUAGUAUGUUAGGACCGAGUGAGACGACAAUAAACAAGAUAGAUGUAAUUGAUGUCUUCGUAAAAUUUAUAGGCCAGAGGCCAUAGAAAAUAUAGAGGGGAUACAGAGAGAUGAAACCUAUGAAAAAUGUGAGUGCCUGAUGCUAUCAGGGAAGAGGAAGAGUGCCCGGGACAGUCUCCUUGAGAAAAGGACAUCUGCUGGCCAUUUCUGCUUGGGUAUCCGGCUUCCUAUGGCUAGGACCAAUCUGGCUUAGCCUUUGGCUUUCUGCUCUUCUUUGGCUCUGCACAUUCUCCUGGUCUUAGAGUUGCUUUUAAACCAGGCCCCGUCAAAUGGGUGGAAUCUUUGUAUUCCUGCCAUGGGCCCAAGGAACCCCAUUAACCAGGUAGAUAAACUUUUCCCUACAUUUAUGAAAAGAGGAAAAAUUUAAGUGGAAACCAAGUCAUUUCAGAUAUUAGGCCAUAUGAGCUUUUUGACACGUAAGCUUAUCAGUUUCAUGAAUGUUAAUUUAGAAUGCUACACAUUGGCACCUAGAAGUCUGAAAUGAGGAGACAGAGCUGAGAUUAUGGGAAAGUCAAGGCUGCUAGGAUUUGCAGGAAGAGUAUGAGAGAGGAGAGAGACGCACGGAGAGAAAAUUCCAGGAGUUUUCCCCAUUAAGUAUUCAGUUGACUACGAAUCAUUUCAUGCGGAAGCCAGGGAGAAAACCACUUGAAAGGACUAGAGGGAACAGUGCCUGGAGGUCACACAAGCUGGGAAUAAUGCUAGCGCCUGUUCACAACAGCCAGAGUGGAAAUCUCACAAUUUAUCAGGUAGAAUACUGAGACGAAUUUUGCUUCAGUAGUGGGAAACAAUCAACCCUAGACUAAAUGCUGCGAUUUUCACCAACAAAGCAUAAAAGCAGAUUUGAG
rnacentral:lncRNA from 10 species